CAUGGUUGUCGUCAGCUCGUGUCGUGAGAUGUUGGGUUAAGUCCCGCAACGAGCGCAACCCCUACGUUUAGUUGCUAACGCGUGAAGGCGAGCACUCUAGACGAACUGCCGUUGACAAAACGGAGGAAGGUGGGGAUGACGUCAAAUCAUCAUGCCCCUUAUGUUCUGGGCUACACACGUGCUACAAUGGCCGGUACAGACGGACGCAAAGCCGCGAGGUGGAGCAAAUCCUAAAAAGCCGGUCUCAGUUCGGAUUGCAGGCUGCAAUUCGCCUGCAUGAAGUCGGAAUCGCUAGUAAUCGCAGGUCAGCAUACUGCGGUCGAAUACGUUCCCGGGCCUU
rnacentral:rRNA from 1 species